UCUAAUAUGGCAGAUUAGUGCAUUGGAUUUAAACCCCGAAUAUAAAGAUUAAACUUUUUUUAGAA
rnacentral:tRNA from 1 species